rnacentral:rRNA from 1 species
CUACGGGAGGCAGCAGUGGGGAAUUUUCCGCAAUGGGCGAAAGCCUGACGGAGCAACGCCGCGUGAGGGAUGAAGGCCUCUGGGCUGUAAACCUCUUUUAUCAAGGAAGAAGAUCUGACGGUACUUGAUGAAUAAGCCACGGCUAAUUCCGUGCCAGCAGCCGCGGUAAUACGGGAGUGGCAAGCGUUAUCCGGAAUUAUUGGGCGUAAAGCGUCCGCAGGCGGUCUGUCAAGUCUGCUGUUAAAGCGUGGAGCUUAACUCCAUUUCGGCAGUGGAAACUGACAGACUAGAGUGUGGUAGGGGCAGAGGGAAUUCCCGGUGUAGCGGUGAAAUGCGUAGAUAUCGGGAAGAACACCAGUGGCGAAGGCGCUCUGCUGGGCCAUAACUGACGCUCAUGAACGAAAGCCAGGGGAGCGAAAGGGAUUAGAUACCCCUGUAGUCCUGGCCGUAAACGAUGAACACUAGGUGUCGGGGGAAUCGACCCCCUCGGUGUCGUAGCCAACGCGUUAAGUGUUCCGCCUGGGGAGUACGCACGCAAGUGUGAAACUCAAAG